CCUACGGGUGGCAGCAGUGGGGAAUAUUGCACAAUGGGCGCAAGCCUGAUGCAGCCAUGCCGCGUGUGUGAAGAAGGCCUUCGGGUUGUAAAGCACUUUCAGCGGGGAGGAAGGCGUUAAGGUUAAUAACCUUGUCGAUUGACGUUACCCGCAGAAGAAGCACCGGCUAACUCCGUGCCAGCAGCCGCGGUAAUACGGAGGGUGCAAGCGUUAAUCGGAAUUACUGGGCGUAAAGCGCACGCAGGCGGUCUGUCAAGUCGGAUGUGAAAUCCCCGGGCUCAACCUGGGAACUGCAUUCGAAACUGGCAGGCUAGAGUAUUGUAGAGGGGGGUAGAAUUCCAGGUGUAGCGGUGAAAUGCGUAGAGAUCUGGAGGAAUACCGGUGGCGAAGGCGGCCCCCUGGACAAAGACUGACGCUCAGGUGCGAAAGCGUGGGGAGCAAACAGGAUUAGAUACCCGAGUAGUC
rnacentral:rRNA from 1 species